rnacentral:rRNA from 1 species
CCCUUAGAUGUUCUGGGCCGCACGCGCGCUACACUGACGAAGUCAGCGAGCAUCUCCUACGCCGAAAGGUGCGGGGAAUCUUGUGAAACUUUGUCGUGCUGGGGAUUGAUUUUUGAAAUUCUUGAUCAUCAACGAGGAAUUCCUAGUAAGCGCAAGUCAGCAGCUUGCGUUGAUUACGUCCCUGCCCUUUGUACACACCGCCCGUCGCUACUACCGAUUGAAUGGUUUAGUGAGAUUUUUGGACUGGAACUCUCUUGUUCAGCAAUGAACGAGAGGGGCUCUGGGAAGCUAUUCUAACUGUAUCAUUUAGAGGAAGUAAAAGUCGUAACA